UACGGAGGGUGCAAGCGUUAUCCGGAUUCACUGGGUUUAAAGGGUGCGUAGGAGGGCAGGUAAGUCAGUGGUGAAAUCCCCGAGCUUAACUUGGGAACUGCCGUUGAUACUAUCUGUCUUGAAUGCUGUGGAGGUGAGCGGAAUAUGUCAUGUAGCGGUGAAAUGCUUAGAUAUGACAUAGAACACCAAUUGCGAAGGCAGCUCGCUACACAGUUAUUGACUCUGAGGCACGAAAGCGUGGGGAUCAAACGGG
rnacentral:rRNA from 1 species